rnacentral:rRNA from 1 species
UUCUAGAGAUAGAAAGUUACUUCGGUACAUCGUGACAGGUGGUGCAUGGUUGUCGUCAGCUCGUGUCGUGAGAUGUUGGGUUAAGUCCCGCAACGAGCGCAACCCCUAUUGUUAGUUGCCAUCAUUCAGUUGGGCACUCUAGCGAGACUGCCGGUAAUAAACCGGAGGAAGGUGGGGAUGACGUCAAAUCAUCAUGCCCCUUAUGACCUGGGCUACACACGUGCUACAAUGGUUGGUACAACGAGUUGCGAGUCGGUGACGGCGAGCUAAUCUCUUAAAGCCAAUCUCAGUUCGGAUUGUAGGCUGCAACUCGCCUACAUGAAGUCGGAAUCGCUAGUAAUCGCGGAUCAGCACGCCGCGGUGAAUACGUUCCCGGGCCUU